CAUUUCUAUUAAUCUAUGUAUUUCCACAUGGCCAUGGCUCUACGGAUCUUCUGGCAUCUUGUUUCUUGGGCCGCUGGCUCGAGUCUCUCUGGAUGACACCCCUCUUCAUCUGAGUCCUCAGUUUCAUUGUCCUGCCUAACCUUAUAUUGCCUUGCCAUAGGCCAGAAGCUUUAGUAUUAACCAAUGAGAGUGAUACAUAUUCAUAGAGUACCGAAGGAUCAUUCCACAGCAUGAAUCACUUUAUCCCAAGGACUUUGCUGUCUUCCCACACUCUGUGAAGGAGAUGAGAAUUGGAUUCUGGACCCUUGAGGAAGUCUGACUCUUGAGUCCCGCUCAGCCAUUUCUGGUUCUGUCGAGCCGUUUAGUCCAUUCCAUUUGGAGAGCUUUGCAGACCUGUGAGCCCUGGGGUACUGCUGAGCAGGGAGAGUGUGGAGGAGAUGUCUGCUGUGACUUUUGAAACCCCGAGGAGCACCAUGUAUACUCCCUUGGUGCUUUUGGUGUCCCAGGAGAAAAUUCUAGUGGACCAGCCUUUUGUAAACUCAGAACAGCAUCUGAAGCAGCACAAGGUAAUGUGCUUGAAUCUCUGUUCUUGAAUCUCCUGAGAACAAAUGUGGGACCAUGUGAAUUUUGCAUGUUUUAAGCAUAUUACUCAUUAUUUUUGACAUACCUCAUUAAAAAUACGUGUGCAAGA